AGGUGCGCUGCUCAUCUCGCUCUCUAGGCUGUGGACAAACUGAAGCAAACAUCCAAGAUGCAGCAACAAGAUCCAGUGUUUUCUGAUUCCCCCAGUGAUACGCGGUGCCCACUGCGGCAGCGAAUGUCACGUGUACAUUCGUAUGAAGAGAGAACAGCGUGGAACUCUAAGUACUCGGUGGUUGGUGACUGUCAGAUGCUGCUUCCUGAUGAAGAGGAGGUGGUGAGAGCAAACAGAACUGUCUCUUGUCUGUUGUGUCCCUCUGUUUCACUGUCGUCUCUUCUGUUCUCAUUUUUUUUUUAACUCAAACUUUUAUUUUAUGCACCUUGUCUAUAUCAUGUAAUGUAAGUGGCUUUAAUAAAAGUCUUUAUUACUUUUAGAAAACAUCCAAAAGAAAGAAAAUUGCAUUUAUUUUUCUUUACAAACCAUCUUGAAUUGGAGACAAAGAAGCACUUUUCACACCAAAGCUGCCCAUUUUUAAAAAAGUCAGACUUUGUCUUUUUUUAAGGACUUGGAUCACACCAUUCGUCCUUUUUUUUGGUCAGAAAUUAUUUAAUACUUGACUUACAUCACAUCGAUUGCAUGCACAAUCUUAGUAAUCCAAAAUGAUAUGUGUUCAACUGAUUUUUUUUUUUUGUAUGUACCAGGUACCAUAGGGAGCUUAAAGCUUGGUUUAUGCUUGACGCAUUCACUUUCCGCGUGGUGAUGCAGCUCACGGAUGGCUUCCGUCCGUCCGCGUGGUUAGAAAUUUUCCGAGGUGCGCGUUGCAGAAAUCUUGAGCCGUGCGGAGACGCGGUGGAGGGGCGUGGUUGUUAAAAUGACGCAACUUUUCCGCGCGGAGCCGUGCGGACCUCGCAAACGCGUCAAGCAUAAACCAACCUUAAGUCUCCUCCCUUUCCAGUCGGCUCACGGGUCUCCGGAAGAACGAAAAAAUGAAUGCAAGUCAACGGGGCUAAAAACGCUAUUUUCUAAUCCACUUUGCCUUACGCCCUGCAUUGCACAUAUGUUGGACUGCAAUUUAAAUGAAAAGUAACGAUGGGUGUUUUGACCACGCCAGUCUUAAGGCACACCUGCACAUUAUUCAUGCUGUCUAAUCAGCCCCUUUAUGUGCCACAUCUGUGAGGUGGGAUGGAUUAUCUUGGUAAAGGAAAAGUGCUCGCUAGUGUAGACAGAUUUCAGAAUAAUAUUUGAGAGUCGUGGGUCUUUUGUGUAUGUAGACGCAUUUU
rnacentral:lncRNA from 1 species